UAACGCGUGAGCAACCUACCUUUCAGAGGGGGAUAACGAUUGGAAACGAUCGCUAAUACCGCAUAACGUCCGGAUGGGACAUCCUGUCUGGACCAAAGGAGAAAUCCGCUGAGAGAUGGGCUCGCGUCCAAUUAGCUAGUUGGCGGGGUAAAGGCCCACCAAGGCGACGAUUGGUAGCCGGACUGAGAGGUUGAACGGCCACAUUGGGACUGAGACACGGCCCAGACUCCUACGGGAGGCAGCAGUGGGGAAUAUUGCACAAUGGGGGGAACCCUGAUGCAGCGACGCCGCGUGAGGGAAGAAGGUUUUCGGAUUGUAAACCUCUGUCCUCUGUGACGAUAAUGACGGUAGCAGAGGAGGAAGCCACGGCUAACUACGUGCCAGCAGCCGCGGUAAUACGUAGGUGGCGAGCGUUAUCCGGAAUUACUGGGUGUAAAGGGAGCGUAGGCGGGGGAACAAGUUGAAUGUUUAAGAUAUGGGCUCAACUCAUAUAAGCGUUCAAAACUGUUUUUCUUGAGUGAAGUAGAGGUAAGCGGAAUUCCUAGUGUAGCGGUGGAAUGCGUAAAUAUUAGGAGGAACACCAGUGGCGAAGGCGGCUUACUGGGCUUUAACUGACGCUGAGGCUCGAAAGCGUGGGUAGCAAACAGGAUUAGAUACCCUGGUAGU
rnacentral:rRNA from 1 species